GUAAUGAAGGAGAAGGAGGAGGAGCUAGGUUUGUUUCUCGAAAUGCGAAGAAGGGAGAAGGAGAGAAAUGAUCUUCUACUUUUCCAAAACGGCGAUGAAUUUGAUGCUCCGCUUGAAUCAAGAGCAGGAAGUUCGCCUAUAUUCAAUAUUGGAUCAACCACUAAUGUGAGGAAGAAUGGUACUGAUGAUUUCCUCAAUGCUGACAAUGACAAAAAUGAUUAUGAGUGGCUUCUAAC
rnacentral:misc_RNA from 1 species